UACCCUGUAUGUGUGCCUGGGCGUGUA
rnacentral:sRNA from 1 species